AGUCGAACGAGUUCUCGUUGAUGAUCGGUGCUUGCACCGAGAUUCAACACUCGGAACGAGUGGCGGACGGGUGAGUAACACGUGGGUAACCUGCCCUUAAGUGGGGGAUAACAUUUGGAAACAGAUGCUAAUACCGCAUAGAUCCAAGAACCGCAUGGUUCUUGGCUGAAAGAUGGCGUAAGCUAUCGCUUUUGGAUGGACCCGCGGCGUAUUAGCUAGUUGGUGAGGUAAUGGCUCACCAAGGCGAUGAUACGUAGCCGAACUGAGAGGUUGAUCGGCCACAUUGGGACUGAGACACGGCCCAAACUCCUACGGGAGGCAGCAGUAGGGAAUCUUCCACAAUGGACGCAAGUCUGAUGGAGCAACGCCGCGUGAGUGAAGAAGGCUUUCGGGUCGUAAAACUCUGUUGUUGGAGAAGAAUGGUCGGCAGGGUAACUGUUGUCGGCGUGACGGUAUCCAACCAGAAAGCCACGGCUAACUACGUGCCAGCAGCCGCGGUAAUACGUAGGUGGCAAGCGUUAUCCGGAUUUAUUGGGCGUAAAGCGAGCGCAGGCGGUUUUUUAAGUCUGAUGUGAAAGCCCUCGGC
rnacentral:rRNA from 1 species